rnacentral:lncRNA from 1 species
CUCAGACUCCUUGUCUGGCUGGUUGCUAUUUCAAGGCAGCGUUUUCAGCAUCAUCCAGCCAGACAACAGCUGACAAAGGGCAUGAGAAAAACUUCUUAAAGCAACUCAGAUGGAGCAAGUUAAAGAAAAGGAAAGCUAUGAAGGAGAACAGAAAGCCAACAGAUGAAACAAAUACUCUGAAAAACUGGAAUCUGCCAUUCAAGUAAUGAAAAAACCCUAAAGGAGACAAGGAACAGGAUCUACUGUAACACAAUCAGCAAAAUAAAAUGCAAAUAGCAUGAUAAAUAACCCUGCAAGCUGUCUGCUGCAUGAUGUAAGCACAGUGACUCAGUACAAUUCUUUUGGGAAGAUAGCCAGCAGAGGAAU